UACGAAUGGAGCGAGCGUUGUUCGGAAUCAUUGGGCGUAAAGCGUAUGUAGGCGGACAGAAAAGUCAGAAGUGAAAUCCCAAGGCUCAACCUUGGAAUUGCUUUUGAAACUCUCUGUCUAGAGUCCCGGAGGGGUUGACGGAAUUCCGAGUGUAGAGGUGAAAUUCGCAGAUAUUCGGAGGAACACCAGUGGCGUAGGCG
rnacentral:rRNA from 1 species